rnacentral:lncRNA from 1 species
CCAUGUGUUUGGCCAAUCUGAAUAGCAGAACAAAAACGUAACGCUCUAAACCUUCAGAUUCAGUAUGUGGAUCCAUGCAAGUUUGAUCACUGGCAUACAAUAAUAUGAUGAUAAGCUUUGUUGUUAUAUUUUCAGCUUGUGCUAGAGGCAUGCCGCUGGCACCGCUGGGCCCUCACUGAUCUUAUACAAGCCAUUUGAGGAUAUGCCGUGGUAAGUCAGCAAAUGGAAUGGAUGGAUCCAUCAUUUUGCCAUCCUGAUGCUUCUCGAGGGUUUCCUUUUUGUUGACCAGUCCAACUAAUCCAUCAUCUUGAUGUGCUGGUGCUAUCUGAUUUCCACUUUUUUCUCAUGAGAAGUUUUAGUGGGAAUACUAAUACAUUCUAGUCAUCGAAUUAUCUUAAACUAGGCCCGAGAAAUGAAUGUUCGGUUUAUCACAAACAAUAUAAAUAUGUAUUAGCUUAGUAUCUUGGCACAUGAGCUAUUUUCAGUCAAUGUGCGGCGAGUCCACUUGGAACUUAAUAGGAACUGGUUCUUCUUCUUACGCUCGGCGCUCCAUGAGCCCCUUGUACUAUUGCUAUGGUUUAUGUGCCUACUUUUAACUCCCUCGACUGAAAUUGGGCGGCUUUGUUUUAGCUGAUCUGAUACUGUGGGUGGGAUCUACAGAACAACCUUGACACGUGUCUUUAAUCAGUCCACAUUCUGCACAACUCCCACAACUUGAACACCAAGCUCUUUGUCCUUCCGGGUGCAUGGACCAACGCGGACUAGCUAUAAUGUGAAAAUUUUGCCUAAUUAACAACCAACAUUGUUGCACUACAAUUCGAGUAAUUAGAACAAUACAAAUUGUAAAAUGAUUGUCCACUCAAGCUUUUGUUGAUACUUAUUAUACCUUGUAUCAAGAUGGACGAGUGCUACAACGUGUGCCUUGAUGGUCAAGUAUUAGAGUAAACCAAAUGGUGUGGACGAAGAAACCACCGCACACAUAGCUCUCUAGUCUAUCUGAAAUUAAAACUUAUUUGUGAGUCAAGUUUGGCUGGAGCAUUGCGUGCUGACAUUUUCUUGCCUUACUUUGUUUGUAGUCAAGAUUCUAUGAUUGGUCUUCUUGGUUUGACAUCCAAUUCAAAAAUCUGUUCACUUCCCUGGAGCAGUCAUAGAGGCAGUGGUAGAGCGUGACAAGCAACCAAGUGGCACCAAAUUCAAACUAAAAGAAAAAUAUGUGUGAUAAAUUGAAAACAGGUGCGGCUUAAGUACUUCUAAUCUGAAUCAAGUUUCUUUAAUUGAUACAAUAAUAGCUUGGCUGACCGAGUUGUAACAUUUGAAUUAAGCUCACAUGGAUCACAUCUUUUUACAUGGCGCCCAGAUGCAGCAGCAAGCCGCCGGUGAUGAUCGGUGGCACACAAUACGGCAGGAGCAUUAGAUGACGAGAAGGGCAACAUCAGUGCUGGCGUGCAGAUGUAGCAGCAAGCUGCUGGUGAUGAUCGGUGGCGCACUAUAUGGCAGGAAAAUGAGAUGACGAGAAGGGCAGUAGCAGUGCUGGCAUGCAGAUGCAACAACAAGCCGCUGGUGAUUAUCGGUGGCGUACAAUACGACAUGCAUCAACAUUGGUGGCGUGCAGAUGCAGCAGCAAGCCUUCAGUGAUGCUUAGUGGGGCGCAGCAUGACAUGAUAAAUGGAUGGCAGAGAAGGUGGCAUCACUCCCCUGUUUGUCUUCCAUGAGCCUCCGCCAGUGCAUAGAGGUACUACAACAUACUGCAUACAUCAAGUUUACUGUUUUUGAACUUCGACACAUACUUGACAAACUUGUGUAUAUGUGUUUUAUUUCUGGAACUACACUGCAAAAGUUGUAUUUUAAUUGAUUAUUUUCAUAAUUUACUGGGACAACAUGGGUCUUGGGUCUGAUUCUAAUCUAGUCAAAUGUAAGUGGCAUGGCAUGCCUCAUAUUAGUUGGCUUCAGUGUUCUCCCAUCCUCUGAUCUCCUAGGUUUCUCCAUUGAUGCAUUUAAGUGAUUUUUGAUGUCCUGCUAUUAAGUAAAUAGUCUGUGCUAAAACUUGUGUAUAUGUGCACCUCAUGAAUUCAUUAACUUCUGAAUGGCUUGUCAUGCUACUUGUGUUUAGGACCAAAUCCUUUAGUUCCAUUGGUUCAGUUUACAUGCAAGUUACCAGUCUUGCUAAUGUACAUGUAUAUGUGUACUUUUUUAAACUUAAACUAUCCUAGUUCAUUUAUUUCCAGUCUACAACUUCCAAUGAAAUAAGCAUGCAAAUGAAACAUUAAUAUACACAACAAUCAGCACAUUAAUUUAAUGCCAUCGGGGACUAGUUCCUAGUUGUAUAUUUCUGUUUCUGCGAGUAUUCACAUAAACAAUCAAGUACAAAUUAGCAUGUGCCUCUCUAGCCUGCCAAUCUUCAUAUGAGUUUUGAACAACUUCUGGGUUCAUUGCACUUUCUUGACAAAUUUGUCUGGAAUAUUUUCAGGUACACAGCCACCUAGCGCUUGGAUGUGAGGACUUGGAGUGUCAUGGAACAUUUGGUUGUUUGCCAUAUUUUGGAUUAGCCUACUUCCAUUGUAUCAUUAAUCUUAUGUGUGUUUUGGCCCAUUUGGUGCUUCAAGUCUUUUGGAUUAGAAACUUUGUGCUCAUGGAUGUAAUUUGUCUGUGAACCCUUUCAGACUAGCAAAUAGUGGUCCUUAUGUCACUUGUGUAUUCUAGAUGGUCAUACUAUGAUUAUUGUUGUGUUUGUGAACCUGUGUGAGUAUAUAUGUAUGAUUUUUAACUUGUCAUCAUUGUUGUGCAAUAUGUGUUCAUCUUGAUGCUAUUUGUGGAUAACAUUUGAACAUUGUGUAUGCAUAUGUAUCAAAUUAUUGUUUUGG